rnacentral:rRNA from 1 species
UACGUAGGAGGCGAGCGUUGUCCGGAGUUACUGGGCGUAAAGGGCGUGUAGGCGGUUCGCAGCGUCUGCCGUGACAGCUUCCGGCUCAACUGGGAGAGCAUGGUGGAAACGAGCGGACUUGAGGGACGCAGAGGGAAGGGGAAUUCCGCGUGGAGCGGUGAAAUGCGUAGAGAUGCGGAAGAACACCGAAGGCGAAGGCACCUUCCUGGGCGUCACCUGACGCUGAGGCGCGAAAGCCAGGGGAG